ensembl:lncRNA
UGUCACGAGCUCUAAGGUGUGGUCCAAUAUCUAAACACUGCAUUCGGAACGUGAGCAGAGUUUCUCAGGUAGAACUGUCCUGUCUCCAGACUGAAACAGAUUCUCCUUAUACUCGGAGUCUGGGAUUCAUUUAGCUUGUUCAGUUUGUGUUCAGUUUGUGUUCAGUUUGUGUUCAGUUUGUGUUCAGUUUGUGUUCUGAAUCGUGUCCUAGUGCUUUUAUUCUGCACUUCCGGCUUUGUUUCUGUUCAUCAGAGCAAGUGGUUAUAGUUUAUCGUCCAGCCAUGCAGUCCUGCAGCGUUCACCACUGUGUCCUGCUCUUACUCACCCUCACAUUCACCACUGCUCUAGAGAUGACCCGUGUGAUUGCCCCAGGUGAACCCAUAGACGUGCUCUUACCCCUCACUGACCUGGUGGAUGUGAGUUUUACUCCGAGUGAUGCUGUACAACCAUCAAACCUGCAGAUCUGCACCGUGGACGAGGAGAAGAUCCAGUGCAGUCCAGAUUAUAAAGAGAGAGCGUCUCUCCUCAACACUCUUCAGAUUAAAGAUGGAGACGUCUCUGACAUUGGAACUACACAGUACUUCCAGUACUACUUACAGGAUAUCUGGAACAAUGAGAUGGUCCGUGUGAGAGAGGAGACGCUGUGUUUGGACAGUACGUAGGAGAGAUCUAUGCCAGCAUGGGGGACUGCACUGAUGGUGGUGCUGAUGAUCCUGCUCAUCGUAGCAGGGUUAUUGAUGGGUUAUCUGUGGAAAGAAACGCAGUAGCUCCAUGGAGAAUCUGCAAACACCAGCAGCGCUGAAUGACUGAGAACACCAACGAACACCAGCAGCUCACAAUGAAUGGAGUUGUCAGCCAUUCUCCAGGAGAUGUGCAGAUCUCCGUACACCCUGCUUUCACUAACCAGCAACACUGAAAGUGUCUGAAUAUGUCCCCUGUCCUCCUCCCUGGGAUUUCUGCUCCAGGACAUGUGGAGCUACACACUGCUGUUUGUGCUGCAGAUCUUCACCUUUGCCCCCACUGUGUCCGGUGAUGGUUCUGUAACGGCCAAACUUCAUCACCCCGUUACCCUCACCUGUAACUCCAGAUGUUCUGGUGUACUCGAAUGGAGCAAGUUUCGAACCAUUGUGGCUCGGUGUGAUCAGACCUCCUGCAGGCCAGAGAAGGGAUUUAACAUCUCUCAUGAUCAGUACCUGAAGGGGAAUCCACAUCUCACCAUCACUGCAGCUGAUUACAGUGCGAGAGGAUUGUACACGUGUCUGUGUAACGGUACAGACAUCUGUAAAGUGCGUCUCCUCAUCGAGCCUCUAGAGAUGACCCGUGUGAUUGCCCCAGGCGAGCCCAUAGACGUGCUCUUACCCCUCACUGACCUGGUGGAUGUGAGUUUUACUUCCAGUGAUGCUGUACAACCAUCAAACCUGCAGAUCUGCAGCGUGGACAAGGAGAAGAUCCAGUGCAGUCCAGAUUAUAAAGAGAGAGCGUCUCUCCUCAACACUCUUCAGAUUAAAGAUGGAGACGUCUCUGACAGUGGGAACUACACAGUACAGGAUAUAGUGAAUGACGAGACUUUAGCCAUCGUAACGGUCCAUAUGAGAGGUGAACGCGUGUCCCAGACUCGCACUCGAAGACACCGCAGUGCCCCUGGUACGUCUAUAAAUAUAUAUAUAUGAUAUUGUCUGUCCUGCAGAUUCCUCUGUUUCUUCUGUAUAUUUAGUUUUAUAUUUAUUAAAAAGAUCUGACGCUCAACUCCACACUAAACUAAAUAAUAAACUCCUGCAGAAACAGGCUUAAAA